rnacentral:lncRNA from 1 species
GGACCUUGAUUGAGUUCCUGUACCGUGCCUCAGUUUCCCCACUUAUAAAAAGGUUACUAAAAAGGAUGCCUCACUCACGGGUGUGAAGACCCAGUGAAUUAAGUGUUAAUAAGAGCUCCACGUAUAGCAAUGCUGCUGUUCAGCUGCACCAGGGUGGACUCCCUUGACUUGCUGGGAGUUACAAUGAGGAAGGAAAGACCAUUAAACUUGUAGGUCUUUCCAGAGAAAGUGCGUUUCCUAAAACCAAAUCCUGCCCUUGCUCCAAAACUUUCAGUGGCGGUUUCCCAUGACCACACCACAGUCCCAGGGUCUCCCCUGGCCUUCAAGGCUGGCACGGUCAGCCUUGCCAACAUCGCUAGUGCCACCAUCUGUUAGCCCCUCCUUGCUCCUGCUCCUGGUCUGCACAUGCUGUUCUCUUUGCCAAGAAUGCCAUUUACCCAGCCCCCUGGUCCCGCUGGGGAACGCCUCCUCAUCCUUCAAAGCCAAGCUGGAAGGGAACAUCUUUGGAGAUGCCGCUUGACCUCCCAGGCCGAAGGGGUCACUCUCCCUGGAGAUGUAGUCACGUCAUUAACCACACUGGGUUAGAAUCAUCAGAAGCUGUUCCUGCCUCUUCCAUCAAGCAAGGGGCUCUGGAGGCCAGAAAAUGCCUAUGAAUCAUGCCCACAUCCCCGGAGCCCAGCAUGGGGCGGGCUCAGGUUAGGUCAAUCAUGUUUGAAGACUGAAUAAAUGAAUGUCUUCAUUUGCUACCCUCAGAA